rnacentral:rRNA from 1 species
UACGAAGGGUGCGAGCGUUGUUCGGAAUUAUUGGGCGUAAAGGGUUCGUAGGCUGGAAGACAAGUCGGGUGUGAAAUCUCAAGGCUCAACCUUGAACGUGCAUUCGAAACUGUUUUCUUGAGUGUUGGAGAGGGGAGUGGAAUUGCUGGUGUAGGAGUGACAUCCGUAGAGAUCAGCAGGAACACCGGAGGCGAAAGCGACUCCCUGGCCAAACACUGACGCUGAGGAACGAAAGCGUGGGAGCAAACAGG